CCGGCCCCUCAUCAGAGAAGGGAAAAGUCAUGUGGCCUUCACAGGAAAAGGUUUGGGGACCCCUGCUUUAGAGUGUUUGUCAUCUGCCCUUCCAUUUGCUUUUCUUCAUGUGCAGUGCUCCCCCUCCAUGUUUGAUCAAACUGCACUGAUAAUUUGAAAUUGUUUUAAAAUGCAUUAAUCGCAAAAAUCAGAGGACUAGAUCACAUUUCCCCCUGUUAUUUCACCACUUUAACUUUGGUCUAACCUAAUAUAGGAAUACAGAUAGAAAGAGUGCAGAGAUCACACACGACGCCAUAACAACCUGGUGUGUUUAAGGCUGAAGCAAAUGGUCAAAAGUCCACACAUACCUCAGUCUCAGCAAUUACAGGUCAACCAAAGCAGUAUUCUCUAAUGCAGUGGACUUGCAAGUACUGCACAUUUUCUGCUGAAAAGAGCCUACUUGCUUAAGCAUUACCGCUUAAAACAUGGAUACCACACUCGGACAUCCCUACUCCCAUGUCUUCAUAAGGACUGCCUCUGCACAUUUAAAUCUUUUAAUGCACUCAAAGUACACCUAUCGACAUGGCACUCUCAAAAAGAUGCAGGCAAAAGUGGAGAAACUGCAUUUGACCGUCAGUUGUGCAACUUUGUGGAGCCCUGCUCAGAAGCAGACUUCUUUACCCAUUUGCGAGGACAUCUUAAGCUGAGGCAAAUGGUUACUUGCCCAUAUCAAGACUAACUUUCAGAGCAGUAUUUAUUCGACCUUCACUGCACACAAAAGCAAAGAAAUGUGAAAUGUGUUUGAGCCAUAGUGUGGGUAGGACAUUUGUGUCUAAAUCAUUCAAUCCCAAUAAAAGUUGCUUUAAUAAAAAAAAACUUAUUUUUAAUCAAAGAAAAAGAACCUUUUGCAAAAAUAUAUUUUUUUGAAAAUAUAUAUAUUUUUAAAUAUAUAUAUUUUUUAUUGACGUGUCACUUUUUUUUUUAAAGGAAAAAGUUUAAAACUUUUUUUUUAAAGUGGAAAAAGUUUUGAACGCAUUUC